UACGUAGGGGGCAAGCGUUGUCCGGAUUUAUUGGGCGUAAAGAGCGUGUAGGCGGCUAGACAAGUCUGCUGUGAAAACUCGAGGCUCAACCUCGAGCUGUCGGCGGAAACUGUCUGGCUAGAGUCCGGAAGAGGAGAGUGGAAUUCCUGGUGUAGCGGUGAAAUGCGCAGAUAUCAGGAAGAACACCUAUGGCGAAGGCAGCUCUCUGGACGGUACUGACGCUGAGACGCGAAAGCGUGGGGAGCGAAC
rnacentral:rRNA from 1 species